GACAGAGGGUGCAAACGUUUGCUCGGAAUCACUGGGCGUAAAGGGCGUGUAGGCGGGACGGUAAGUCGGGCGUGAAAUCCCUAGGCUCAACCUAGGAACUGCACUCGAAACUACCAUUCUUGAGUGUCGGAGAGGAAAGCGGAAUUCCUGGUGUAGAGGUGAAAUUCGUAGAUAUCAGGAGGAACACCAGUGGCGAAGGCGGCUUCUGGACGAUACUGACGCUGAGACGCGAAAGCGUGGGGGAGCAAACAGG
rnacentral:rRNA from 1 species